rnacentral:rRNA from 1 species
ACCUACGGGGCGCAGCAGUAGGGAAUCUUCCACCAUUGGCGUCCGCCUGAUGGAGCAACGCCGCGUGGGUGAAGAAGGUCUUCGGAUCGUAAAACCCUGUUGUUAGAGAAGAAAGUGCGUGAGAGUAACUGUUCACGUUUCGACGGUAUCUAACCAGAAAGCCACGGCUAACUACGUGCCAGCAGCCGCGGUAAUACGUAGGUGGCAAGCGUUCUCCGGAUUUAUUGGGCGUAAAGGGAACGCAGGCGGUCUUUUAAGUCUGAUGUGAAGGCCGUCGGCUUAACCGG